rnacentral:rRNA from 1 species
CCUACGGGGGGCAGCAGUGGGGGAUAUUGCACAAUGGGGGAAACCCUGAUGCAGCGACGCCGCGUGUGUGAAGACGGUCCUCUGGAUUGUAAACCACUGUCCCCAGGGACGAAGAUGACGGUACCUGGGGAGGAAGCUCCGGCUAACUACGUGCCAGCAGCCGCGGUAAUACGUAGGGAGCAAGCGUUGUCCGGAAUUACUGGGUGUAAAGGGAGCGUAGGCGGGAUGGCAAGUUGGGUGUUAAAUCUACCGGCUCAACUGGUAGUCGCACUCAAAACUGCCAUUCUUGAGUGAAGGUGAGGCAGGCGGAAUUCCUAGUGUAGCGGUGAAAUGCGUUGAUAUUAGGAGGAACACCAGUGGCGAAGGCGGCCUGCUGGGCUUUUACUGACGCUGAGGCUCGAAAGUGUGGGGAGCAAACAGGAUUAGAUACCCUUGUAGUC